CCUAGGGUCAAGCUUGCUGUGCGGAGCUGUGGAGUCUGCUGGAAAAACCAGAUGACCAUUUCCAAUUUUCCUCAUCCUUCUGGCUUGGAAUUGCCAUGGUUUUCCUGAAGCCCAGCAAGCUGAAGCCAGACUACUUGAUAGAAGCUUCAGAGAAGCCACCUCAACAGCUCAUGCAUGGAAAACCUUUGUGACCUCCAAGCUGCAAACCAGGAAGAGCUGUCACUUGCCGCUGCCUGCUCCAGCUGAAGGGUCUUCAGGCCUAGCAUCUAGAAAUCUUCUUGACCGGCUGACUGCCUUCUGGACUCAGAAAGGCUUCUAUUCCUGUGUGGCUGGAAACUGGGGAAACCUGGCCUCUGGACGGCUCACA
rnacentral:lncRNA from 1 species